GGAAUCGUGGCACAAUGGUAGCGCUUCUGACUCCAGAUGAGAGGGUUGCGUGUUCAAUUCACGUCGUGUUCA
rfam:Picea glauca, whole genome shotgun sequence.